GACGAACGCUGGCGGCGUGCUUAACACAUGCAAGUCGAACGGAAAGGCCCUGCUUUUGUGGGGUGCUCGAGUGGCGAACGGGUGAGUAACACGUGAGUAACCUGCCCUUGACUUUGGGAUAACUUCAGGAAACUGGGGCUAAUACCGGAUAGGAGCUCCUGCUGCAUGGUGGGGGUUGGAAAGUUUCGGCGGUUGGGGAUGGACUCGCGGCUUGUCAGCUUGUUGGUGGGGUAGUGGCUUACCAAGGCUUUGACGGGUAGCCGGCCUGAGAGGGUGACCGGCCACAUUGGGACUGAGGUACGGCCCAGACUCCUACGGGAGGCAGCAGUGGGGAAUAUUGCACAAUGGGCGGAAGCCUGAUGCAGCAACGCCGCGUGCGGGAUGACGGCCUUCGGGUUGUAAACCGCUUUCGCCUGUGACGAAGCGUGAGUGACGGUAAUGGGUAAAGAAGCACCGGCUAACUACGUG
rnacentral:rRNA from 1 species